CCCGAAAAAAUCAUACACUACUGUUUUGGUGGCACACUCACGUCCGCCCUCACCUCCGUCUCCGAGUCUCUCUCUCGUCUCCACCGCGUCCUCAUCUCCAGCCGGAUCUCGCACGCACCUCUGAGGUUCUGCCUCUGGAUCUCGGCUCCACUUCCUCUUCCCUUGCUGACUGCAAAGUGCAAACACUACGUCAACUACACAGUGUGAGAGCCUCCCUGCCUUGCAUCCCAUCAAGAUGCUUCAUGCCUACUCCAACAAGUUCCGUAUGUGGGGCUGUGAACUUCUCAAUGAAACGCAGGAGCUUGGAUAAAGCUACAGCCUACAAGGACCUAGUAAGUACAGUCAAUCAAGCAAGCUUUUAGAGAACAUGAGUAUUCAUUUAGCCGGCUGAAACCAAACUAACACCAACACUUCCAAUAUACACGGCACUUCCAAUCAAGAUGUUCCGUGUUGAAUUUUCUGAUUACUGAUUGUUAUCUUGGAUGUGGUAGGUUCCAAUACCUAAAGACAAAUUUUUUACAAUGUCCAUUUGGUUGCCGAUGUAUGCCUUAUCCAAAAUUGUAUUUUUGUUCUUAGUUCCAUGUAAUUUCAAUAUGUAAGUGAAUCUUAAGAUGCACAAACUUGUAUCUGAAUAAUUUUGAAGAUUACUUUUUUGCAUGUAUGUGUGAUUACAGGGGAAACUGUGAUGUAUGUA